rnacentral:rRNA from 1 species
GUGGGGAAUCUUCCGCAAUGGACGAAAGUCUGACGGAGCGACGCCGCGUGAGUGAUGAAGGCCUUCGGGUCGUAAAGCUCUGUCAUCGGGGACGAAUGGUCGUUGGAGUGGAAAGCCAGCGAAAUGACGGUACCCGAGAAGGAAGCCACGGCUAACUACGUGCCAGCAGCCGCGGUAAUACGUAGGUGGCAAGCGUUGUCCGGAAUUAUUGGGCGUAAAGCGCGCGCAGGUGGGAUCUUAAGUCCAUUUUUAAAGUUCGGAGCUCAACUCCGUGAUGGGAUGGAAACUGGGAUUCUUGAGUACCGGAGAGGAACGCGGAAUUCCCCGUGUAGCGGUGAAAUGCGUAGAUAUGGGGAGGAACACCAGUGGCGAAGGCGGCUUUCUGGACGGUGUCUGACACUGAGGCGCGAAAGCCAGGGGAGCGAACGGGAUUAGAAACCCGUGUAGUCC